rnacentral:lncRNA from 10 species
UGUGACUGUAAGCUGUCCCUAGAUGAGCUGACAGACCCUGGCUGAGCAGGAAGUGGCAGGGUCAGGAAAAGCUAGGCCACAAGUUUUCCCUUGAGAGCCUUAGAGUCUAGCCCUGUCGCCCAGGCUGGAGUGCCAUGGUUUGAACUCUACUCACCGCAACCUCCACCUCCCAGGUUCAAAUGAUUCUCCUGCCUCAGCCUCCUGAAUAUCUGGGAUUACAGGUGCCUGCCACUACACUCAGCUAAUUUUUGUAUUUUUAGUAGAGACAGGGUUUCACCAUGGUGGCCAGGCUGGUCUUGAACUCCUGACCUUGUGAUCUGCCCAUCUCGUGCUGGUAUUACAGGCGUGAGCCACUGCGCCCAGCCUAAAAUAAUUUUCAGUGAGUUAUAAGAAAACAGCUGCAUUCUGUUCUGUUUUUAGGCCUGGCCAGAGAAUACCAGGAGACUGUAAGAUGUCAUGGUACAUCAAGUCAGUCUCAAGUGUCCUAUAACCCUGGCUUGCCAUCAGCUUAGAAUGUUCUCUUUUUCUACUGACCUGCCUUCCAUCUGUGGUCUCUUCCUUCCGUCUGCUAUUUAUCAUGUACUUAUUGAUGUGUGUCCCAGAAUGUUCAGAAUCAUCUGAUUUAAAAGAUUCUGUCCCAUUUUCAGUAAAAGUAGCCCAAUAUUUUGUUGAGAAAACACAGUGACUGUGCAUAUACCUACCUACUCAUUAAGGUAUCACUUGUUGGUCACCUAGAGUAUAAAUUCAUGGCGUGGAUAUGACCUUGGUAUGAGCCUGUUCUAUACUGAUUUUGUCCCUCAUUGGGGAAAGACACUAGGAGGAUGUGUGUAUAGUGAAUAGAGGUACAGAUUGGGCACAGGCAGACUCUUUCUUGAAUCUAUUUCAUCAAUUAGUGGAUUUUUUUUCUCCUAGCCAAGUUAUUUAGCCUCUUCCUAUAUGAAAUACUCCUUCUUUUCAUCUGUUUUUGUUUUUAAAUGAGAUGACAAUUCAUGACUAGUCUUGGUCCCCUUAACACUUAGUGAGUGCUCAACAAAUGGUAGGAAUUAUUAUGGAUAACAAUAAUUAGUGUAAGUUCAAUAUGUAAAUAAAACUGCCUUUUGUUCACUAUCACAUCGCUUGUCUCAUCGGGUCUCAUCAUGAAAUAUUGGUCAUCAUUACUAUGAGAUCCAUCUAUGGUUAAUAUUACUAGUGUGACCCUAAAAUAGGAUUCAUCAACUAGGUAUGAUCAUCCGUCUAUUCUUUCCUUAAAUACAUUGAGCAAAAUCUUCAGGGGCAGCUGUAUUUUUUAACUGCACAUGCUACAGGGAUUCUGAAGUGAAACAUGGUGAAGAACCACCCAAUCAGACAUUUGAAUGGGGACUGACAGUCUUAAGUCUAAAGAAAUUUCCUCUUCCUUCAUAGUAAUUAGCAAGAAACUUCUACAAAAGUUACAAUGCCAAUUACUGGAAACGCGCAUAUCAGGAGUUCCAUGGAGGACCAUUUCCAAGCAGUAGACAUCAUGCAUCAAUCUGCUUUUUGAAAUCCAGACUGAUUUUCCAAAUCAUUUUUAAAUAAGAGGCCUCAAGCCGUAUGUAAGAAACAAGAAAAUUUGUGCCUUAAGAGCAACUAUCAACUUAAAUCAAAGAGGGGUAAGAGGUAAGCUCAGGGGAUAGAGAAGAUUAACCUAACAACAAAUAGCCUUUGCUUACUUCUGAGAUACCUAGCAAAUGCUGCCUUUUUGAAUUUUGUGCAAUUAGUUUAGUACUUCAAUUACCUAGAUAUUUUUAAGUUAAACAAGCUCUUGAGUGAUUUUUUCAUCAAUUUACAUUGAGUUAUAACAAAUGUAGGAAUAUUUGUAUUUAAAAUGCACAAGAAAAUGCAAAACAUAUCUCUAAUUUGACCACUAAAAGGCCAGUUUCUGAUGAUAACUUUUUGCCAUAUCUUAUUAACUGUAAUGUAUCUUUAAGGAUGACACAUGGAAUAGUUCCAAUGUAUAACAGAAAGGAAAUCUGAUAUUAUACUUAAGUGCAUUCUGUACUCUGUGGGGAAAGAUGCAGAAUAUAUUACAAAGAACAAUGAAGACAUGUUUCAAAAGUAAGCAUUAAUUUAUUCAUUCAUUCAUUUAUUCCCUCACACUCUUAUUCAACAAACAUUUAUUGAAAAUCCUCCCAUGCGCAAGGUGGGUGUUCUAUCUAAAUUCUAUGAAGAACAAGACAGACAAGGUCCGUCUUCUCACAGAGCUUACAUUUUAGUGAGGUAAAGUUGUCAAUAAGUAUGCAAAUUAAAAAAAUGACAGGCUCAACUAAUGCCUCCAAAAGCAACUAUUUUUAAAGCAAAAUCUGAUUGUGUUCAAGUCUAGCAAAGAGUCACAAAAAUAUAUUUUUAGAAAUGAAGAUUGUUGACAUGGUAAGGUUAUUCAUUCUUUCUAUUUUUAUAAAUAAAUCAAUUAACCCUAUUUUAUUUUAAAAAGUCAUGCAAGGUCAAAAACGUUGGGAUGAUUGGUAUUAAACUCUGGUGGAAGAAGCUCCCUGAAUGCCUCCCUGACAUCAGUCAUACAGGUCAGGAAGCAAACACCUUUCCUCUUGUUUCCUAACUGCCCUUUUUACCCAUUUCAUAGCACACACUUACUCCGGUCACCAAACUGGUUACCAUCCUCCUGUGUUCUGUUUUUGUAAGAGGGCAUUUAUUUGGCCCUAGUUACCCAAGAAAAGGCAAUUAGUCUUGACAACUGCUGCAAAGAGAAAAGACGAGAUGAUGGAAACAUUCAACACUUAAAAAUCCUUAGAUUUCAAGCAUUGGGGUUUCUGCCCCUAUAGAUUUCUGGGAGUUUGGGACAAUUAAAAUAUAUCUUUUAUUUUUUUAAAAAAAUAUAUAUAAAUGAAUGCUAAAACAACUCUUAAAAGGAAAUUGCUUUAUAUAGUCUGGCUAUGAUCAGCAAAACUGGUAUUCAUAUUUACAUUUGUUUAUUAUAUCAGUGAGGUUUGAGAAUCAUUUAAAAGAAUUGUGUUCUAAUUCAACCUAAAUUCCCUUCCUGUUAAUCUGAGCCAAAUGUCCCAAACACAGACAUGGCAGUUUUUAAAUCUCUGAAAACUAUUUAAAAACUAAUAUUAAAAAUAUAGUUUUAAAAUAUAUUGCAUAUACCUGUAUACUUAGGUAUGAAGAAAUUUCCUCUUCCUUCAUGGUAAUUAGCAAGAAACUUCUAUAAAAGUUACAAUGCCAAUUAUUAGAAACAUGCAUAUCAGGUGUCCCACGUAGGACUAUUUCCAAGCAGUAGAGAUUAUGCAUCAAUCUGCUUUUUGAAAUCCAGACUGAUUUUCCAAAACACUUUUAAAUAAGAGGCCUCAAGCCAUAUAUAAGAAACAAGAAAAGUUGUGUAUAUUUGUAUACAGGUAUAUACGAGUGCCCGUAUAUGCAAGCUGAGGUGGAGAAAUUGAAGACACAGAUUAUGUAAGCCAUUAACUCUUUAGGGGAGCAAGCUCUGAUGUUCCCACUUGAAGACGGGAGAGGGGAGUCCUCUCAUGCUUGCGUCUCACUGUAACUUUUAUGCUUUUGUCUGUGGGUGUGUUUGUUCAGUGCUUAGACUGAACAACAGUGACCUCUUUGAAACAAGAGGAUAUACAGUUCACGUGCCACAUAAUGACUUUCAGUCAAUGACAGACUGCAUAUAUAAAAAGCACAUUCUAAUAGGACCUUUGAUAAUCGUUUUGUCUUCUUGACUAUCAUCUUCUCUAGGAGAAAGUCUUCCCUGAUACUCUGCCCCCUGCCUCCACACAUACACAUACACAAACACUCAGAUAUAUCUCUACCACACAUACUCCUGGCUAGGCUAAGUGCACCCUUUUCUUUUUCUUUUUCUUUUUCUUUUUCUUUUUCUGAGACAAGGCCUUGCUCUGUUGCCUAGUCUGGAGUGAAGUGGCCUGAUCAUAGCUUACUGCAGCCUCCAACUUCUGGGCUCAGGCGAUCCUCCCACCUCAAUUUCCCAAGUAAUUGGGACUACAGGCAUGCACAAACAUGGCUGGCUAAUUAUUUUUAUUAUUAUUAUAAGUAGAGAUGGGGUCUCACUAUGGUGCCCAGGUCGAUCUCAAAGUCCUGGGCUCAAGCAACCCUCAUGCCUUGGCCUCUCAAAGUGCUAGGAUUACAGGCAUGAGCUAUCAUGUCCAGCCUAGCUACCCCUUUUCUAUACUUUCCUAGCAUCAUGUGUGGGUCUUUCUCAUACUAUCUACAGCACACUGUGAUUGUGUAUUUACCCAUAUUUCUCCCAAAUGACUAUAAACACCUCAAGGGAAAGGAUUAUAGCUUAUUCAUAUUUGAAUCCUUAGUAUUUAUGACAAUGCUUGGCUCAUAAUAAGCUCUCAAGAGAUAUUCAUUCCAUUGAAUUGAAAUGACUUCCACUUGGGUUUCACAGUAGAAUACUCAUUACUCAUCAGACUUACUCAGGGGACAAGUCUCUGGCCUCAUUUUCAUUUGCAUCUUGGCCAUGAUUUUGCCUACUGUCAAUCACCAUGAAGUACAGAAAAGCAAACUGAGCUAUGGUGAGCCAAAUUAACUGGACCUAAGAUGACCUCAUCAGCAAAGCGCCCUAAGCAAUCAAGCAAUCGGGUCAGCUAGUUGCAGCCUAUAGUUAUCGUGGAAAACUGGUUGCUACUUUGAUCUCAGCUCACCUUGCCAAAUACUCCUUUUGUUUGAAAGAUAGUCAUAACAAGUACAAAACAACACUGAGUGAAUAUUUUUAAUAUUAUAAGCACCUAGAUAAAUUUAAUUUCUAUUUCCAUUAAUGAUCUGAAUAACCUAAAUUCUUCUAAUACCUAUAUUUGUCCAAUUUUAAGGUAUUCUGACUUAGGCAGAAAUUGGGCAAUUAUCUGAUUAAUUCAGGCCAAUAUUUUUAACACUGGAUUUCUGCAUCACAAGAAUUGUUAAUUUAUUCUUAUAUCCUCAUUCCUGGUACACAAUGGGUGCUCAGAAGUAGCUAGGAUUUACUGAGAGCUUACUAUAUGCUAAACUGUACAACAAUGUGUUAUCUUACAUUAAGUCUCACAAAAAUUAAAACUCUCAAAAAACUUCGCACUAAUUGUUUGAGAUAGAUGAGAUUACAAUCUGAGUCUUAAGAAGGUUAAGUAACCCACCCAAGGUCGAAUUAAGAACUUGAGCUAUCUUUUUAAUCACUACUCUAUAUAGACAUUUGUUGAAUAAAUGGUCAGAUGCAUUUUGAUCAAGCCUAUGCUUAUUUGAAAUAUCACAUGCUUUUUUGAACUUUAUAGAUAUAUAUUAACCAUUUGGAAAAAUGUAAGAACAAAAUCUCAUGGAAAAUGUAAAUUUCAAUCUUGCAAACUAAACAUUCGAUUUAUACACUUUCAGGAUUUACUCUGUUGUGUGAAUAUGCGUACUUUAGAAUAAAACUGGUAUCAUACUAUACAAUGAAUAUCAAGUUUUAAUUCAAUAAUGUUUAAUGAAUAAUUCCCUAUGUCAUUAAUAAUCCUCUUAUGAGUAUUAUUUUAAAAGAUACAUUAUUUUACUUCAAGAAAAUUUUAUGAUUUGUAUAAUAGAACUAUAGCUUUUGGACAUUUUGGCUACUUAUAACUUUUAGUGCUUUGAUAAUAUCAUUACAAACAUCAUUACACAUAUAUUUUAUAAUUUUUAAGAAACAAAUAUGUUCUUAAAUUUGUUUUUUAAGGAAAAUUAUUAUUGGUUGAAUGAUUACAUCAAAGGGAAAUGGAUUAUUUUCAUAUGUAAUUUCAUGCUACCUCCAACAAAGGUUUUAUCCUGAUUAUAUUGUAGACCUGAAUUCAUUUAAAUUUAUGCUGAUUUUUUUAACUUUAGAGACAUAUUGCUCAUAUUCAAGUACAUUUUAAUUCAUGUUAUAAGUAUAUGACAACAUAAACAUGUUUUGACAUCCUCUACUGAAUAUAUUCUUUUUACACCACUAAGCAUUUUUAAAAUUUAGUUUUUUAUAAAAAGGACAGAUAGGCAGGCAGGCAGAGAGAGACAGAGACAGAGAUGACAAGCAUAAACAAGGAAUUGUAGCUGUGGUCUAACAGAUUACACAUUUUUAAGCACCUAAAUUUAGAAAAUUAGGUGGUAUACUUUAUUAUUGAUCAUUUGGGGUCAAACUAGCUAAUCUGGCAACUUAAUUUUCCUAGGGAUUUAUUUGAUGUAAAAAUAUGGUCUGAUCGUUCUUCAGUGGUUCUUUCCUUUUAGGAGUCUUGCUCAUGAGAACCUGUCUUAAAACUUUUACUGCUUGAAAUAUGUAGAAAGUCCAAGGGUAAAGGAGAGUGGAAUUUGUUGUUGUUUACUAUGAAGAAUUAUCAUUGAGUCAGUUCACCUUUGGCUGGCAUCUGGGGAAAGUUUGCCUGCACGACAUGAUUAACAGCUAAAAUAUUCUUACGGCCUUUAUCUCAGCAGUCUAGAAGGUUCGAAUGAAAAGAACAUUAUCCAUAGAGGAAGUAGGAGGUAAACAUUCCUAACAAAAAUGGACACUCAAUAAAUACAUGUUAAAUAAAAGAAUAAACAAAUACGUUCAAGUCGAUUCUAGUUGUGCAGUGGUAACCCUUGUCGUAUUGGAACAGUAAUGCACAUGGACCAUGAGUCCUUGUAUUCUUCUUGAGCCAGCUUGGUGAACUUGGUCAAACCACUGACACUCAAUUGCUUCACUGGUAAAACAAAGCCAAUAGCAUCCGCUAUACUUAUCCAUUAGAUUUUUUAUCCAUUAGAUUUUUUAAUAUAUAUGAAUACAAUUUAUGAAAGUACUGUAUACUAUGUACUUAGUAUAUACUUAAUUAGUAUGAAAAUAAAGUAAAAAUACCAUAGAAAAUUAGAGGUUUAUGAAUUGCUAAUACAUGAGAUAUUUACUAGGGUGUAUAUUUACUAUGUCUUCUAAAAGUAUAAGUUUGGUAAGCAGAAAUCUCUUAGGGUUUAGCAUUUCUUUAACUGAUAGCAAAAAUUUUGAAUGUUAACUAUUUAAGUGUAUCUACAGUGACUUUCCUUUUCUUCAUGAUAUUGCCUUGUUUAUCCCUUUGAUUUAUCCUCAUGUCCCACUGAAGCAAGCUAUGCACCUUAAUGCCAUCUUGUUUAUGGGGACUAAUAAAAGAAAAUUGUCUGCAAUGGGAGAUCUGCUUUAUUUACAUGCAAAUUAAAACUAUAUUCCUUCGGUUACAGGCCAAAGAUUAUUAAUGCAUGAUGUGUAACAAUUUCAGGCAAAGGCAAUCAUCAGAUAUUAAGAAAGGGAUCAAGAAAUCGAGGAGGCAAAAGAACAGAAGAAGUAAAUACCUAUAGCUUGCCCAGAAGGUAAGAAGAAAAAGAAUGCCAAAAAUGUGGACCAUUUUAUUAUUUAGUUAAGCAUUAUAGUACUGCAAAUCCUUUUUCCACCAUCUUUUCAAACUUUUGCCGUGACAGAAUUGUUUUUGAUACCCACAUAGAAAAGAUUAAAUGAGUAGAAAAGAAGAUCAAUAUGAAAAAUUUAAAGGAACUGUCAUUUUUCAGCCUAGGAAGAGAGAGAAUGCCGAAAGACUUCUAAUGUAUGGAGUUUAAACAUCAGAUGGUGAUUGAUUGCUAUUAAUUUAUGUCAGCAAAGGAGGAGAAGAAAUACGUAAAACUGCCUCUGAAGAAUUUACAUUAAACACCAAAAGAAUCUGACUCUGAAAAUGAAGAAACAAGGAAUAUUGUUUGUUUUGGGAAUCAAAAAAAAAAAAAACUUCCCAUUUGAGUACACAAUUUCCUAAACAAGAUACAUGAUAAUUCCAUACACUAUGCUUUCCGAAGAAACUUUGUAAAACGUAUUUUCAUUAUUCAAAACUUGAAAACACAGAAACAAUAUGAUGCAAAAAAUUAUCUUUAGCAUUAUUCCACUAAGAUAAUUCAUUUUAACAUCCAUAUAUUCAUUAUUAUGUAAAAUACCUAUCAGUAUGUGGGUAUAUCUUUGUGUGUAUAUUUUAACAAAACAAAAUUCAAUAAAAAUUGAAAUACAGAAAUGACAAAAACACACAAAAAAUAUAAAUUAUUUCCAUUGUAGCAUAUAUUACCUUUUUCACCUAACAUUAUACUGUAGGAAUAUAUUCUUUCAUCAUUCAAUGCUUUUGAAAAUAUAAUAAUAUUCCAUUUUAAGGACAUGCUAUAAUUUAGUUCAUUAGUUUUUAAACUUUUAGAUUAUCUCAUUUUGUCAUCAUUUAAAAAAAGUGUUCCUGGAUGUCCUUUUGCAUAGACUUUUGAAUGUAUUUCUGACUAUUUUCUUAACCUGUCCUGUACUUCUGCAAGUAGAACUGCUUGAGCAGAGAUUAGGAGCAAUUUUAAGGUUUUUCAAAAAUCUUGACAAACUAUUCUGCAGGAAAAAUGUAUCUUGUUACCAUCAGCAUUUUUAAGUAACUAGUGACUAAUUGUAAAAAUAAUUGUGUUUCCUUGUAUUUAAGCCUUGCGCUAUAGAUUUUAAAAAUUUGUCCUUUUUUUUUUUUCAUUUGUAAAAAAAAGCCAUCUAAAAGACCUUAGAACCUGGUAUCAGCUGAAGCUUACUAAACCAUAUCAAGAAGAUCAUGUCAUUCUCAAGAAAAGCAUGUUUCAAAUAAAAAGGAAAUGUCAGCCCUGAGCGUUUUUAUUAACCAUCUCCCCAUCUGACUUCAGAGACAGCUUUAGCUGACCACUUCCUCUCUCGGGUUUAUUUGUAUUAGAAAUAAGUGGAUUCAUUAACUGUGCCACUUGGUGGUCAGGCCAGGCCUGCCAGUGUCCAAUAACAGGUAAUGGUUGUAUUUUUCACGGGGUGACUGAUGUUUACUUUGUUGAUGGCCCCAGGAGCUCAUGUAAUCUGAGAUAGGUCUUUGUUUACUUCUUGUUUUACUGAUAUGCUGACCCAUUUGAAACUAGCGAGAAAGAAAAAUAAACAUUCUGGAAUAUGGUACCUGAAGUCACUCUUCCUUAGUGGCUUUAUUGUAACCUCUUCAAAGGCUUUUGUUAACCCACUCUUUUCCCAGCAAAAAACCCUGAUCUGGUCUCUUUUCCAAUUAAACCAAAAGCAAUAUCACACCAAAUAAGCAAACAGAAAAUAUUGAAAUUACCACUUAAAGAGAGUUUUAUCUGGGGUUUAAUUGUGUGUGUACUCAAGCGUUUAGUGUAGGUCAUUUGCUAAUGACAUCUAGUAAUUUUUAAAAACUGGAUAAAACUGAUACUGAGCCUGUCUACAGCAAUUUAACUAUUUUGGGGGAGUAUAAAGUUAGAUUUGUCUAUACUGACUUGUUUGCUCCAUUUUAAAAACUGUGUUGGAAUGAUUUAUUAUGGAUGAUCCAAAAUAAACGUGAAGUGAGGAAACUAUUUUUUAAUUACCACUGGUAGCAUAUUUAAUGGAAUUGUGUUAUUGUGCCAGAAACCUUAUUGAGCUAUAUUUGUUCUAUUAUCUUACUCAUCAGCACAGCAAAAGUUCAUAUUUCAAGGGUGAAGGAAGUGAGGCAUAGAGAGGUUAAAUAAUUCCCCAAAGGCAGAGGGCCGCCAAUUGGUGAAUGUCAGACAUAAUCCCACGCCUGCCUGAGGCCGGAGUCCAUAUUCUUAACAGACAUCCUCUUUUGUCUCCUUAUUUCAUGAUGCCAAAUAUGCAUGACGCUGAUAUAAAGCGUAUAUAUUGGAAUCUGUAUAUUCAAAUGAGCGAUGUCCAUUCAGUCAAACUGGAAGUAUGCCAAUUACCUUCCUAUAUUCAACACUUAGCUCAGAGAUGAUGAGGCACUUCACAGUUGUUUAAUUGCACUGAGCACCCACCCCACAAGCCCAUUUUACUUCUGUUCAAACCAGGUUUGCUAUUCUAAUUUUGGAAUUAUGUUCAUUUGCAAUCUGAGUCACAAGAGUAAAUAAACUUUAUCAGUAUAUCUUUAAAAUUAUGUAUACAUUUAUAAUGUAUUUAUGUAUAGAAAUAUAUAAACACAUUUAUAUAAACACACACAUAUCUCUAUAAAUCCACAUAUUUACACUUGACUACUAAAAAUUAGUUACAAUAUUUGUCUCUUCUAUGUGUUUUCAAAAGUUAUAUUUAAUCCCAAAGAAUUACCAUGAUGAUGUAUGACAGAUUCAAAAAGGAGAUUCAACAGAAUUUGAGGAAUUGUAACACAGUUAGAAAAACAUAGCCCCAAAGCAAACACUUUUAGGGAAUAUUCUUUAUAUUAAGUAUGAGUAUUAAAAAAUUUGAUUAGAAGUGUUUAUAUAUUACUUUAUACUUGUGUAUAUUACAUCCACACCCUGUAUACAUAAUAUAGUUAAUAUAUAUGUGUAUACAUCAUGUAUAUAGGCUGUGAAAGUAAUAUUAAUAUAUGAAUAAGUACAUAUGUACAUUUAAAAAUUGUAUGUACUCAAAAUGCAUAUUUUUUCAGAAGACUGACAAUUACAUUCUAGCACAAAACUUAUUCAAAACCUCUAGUCCAUAAGACAUGAGAAUCAGCAGGUUCCACUUGUGCCCCGUGGGUCUGUAGCCGAUUCAGGGUGGCAACUGCCACAUCUUCCCCUCCUGAUUUAUUUGCUUUCGGUCAGUUUGGCAGCUGCCCCCACAACAGCCUGAGAACGCAAUCUAUACUUCACAGAAAGGCAUUUGGAAUAGAAGAGGGUUUCUGAGGGCAUUUAAAAAAAUAAAUGAAAUAAAGAUGUUGCUAAAAGCUAUCCUCUCAGAUUCACAAGGCUGACAGGAAAACAAAGUUUCAACUUGCAAACAGCAUGAACUGGCCAAGUGGUUUGCUCUGUCAUGGACAGCAGCAAGGCUGGCAUGCAGUCUUGCUGUGCUCACACUAUUGGCCCUGUGAAAACUCAGGCCAGAUCUCCUGUCCAGACAAGAGCCUGGGUUAUUGGGAGAAAAAUCCAUUUUAACUAUUACAUUCAUUUUCAUUUUUCCAGGAAUACAAUCCAAAAUCGCAGGGAGCACUUGGAAACAAUUCUUGGCAACUGUAUUCAGUUGAAGAAACUCAGAAUAUGAAAGCAUUAACAUAGAGUGCAACCAAAACACAAAUAAGAAUCACCCAAGCUGGGCUACAAGAAUAGCUACUGUUUACUCUGAGUGGAUAUUUAUGAAGAGCCGUAGUAAGAAAGAUCUUUUUGAUGAUAACAGAGCGGUGUAUGGCAUGAUAUUAAUUCUGCCUCAUUAGUGAAAUGAAAAACUCUGAGAUAGGUGUGACAAAGAAAAUUAUCACUGUUUCUCAUUCAGUGUUAAUUUCGCUUCUUGAAUUAAAUUCUGCUCAUUCUCUUCGGUGCAUUUAAAAUUAUUCCUUUCUUUUGAUACAUAUAUAUAUCUAUAUCCUAUGGAAUACUACUCAGGCAUAAAAAUGAAUGAAAUCAUGUGUUUUGCAGCAGCAUGGAUGAAUCUGGAGGCCAUCAUCCUAAGUGAAAUAACUCAGAAACAUGUUCUCACUUAUAUCACAAAUAUCUCACUCACAAAUAUCACAUGUUCUCACUUAUAAGUGGGAGCUAAACAGUUAAUACACAUGGACAUAGAGAGUGGAAUAAUAGGCAUUGGAGAACUCCAAAAGAAGGAAAAGUGGGAGCAGGGGUGAGAAAUGAGAAAUUACUUCAUGGGUACAGUAUACAUAUUCAAGUGAUGGGUACACUAAAAGUGCAGAAUUCACCACAAUGCAAUAUAUCCAUGUAACAAAACUGCACUUGUACCCCCCAAAUCUAUACACAUGAAAAAAAAUUGUUCCUUUCCAAUAUCAGCAUGUAUUAGAAUCAGGAAUGGUUUAUACAUUAAACACUAUAAGCACAGCCCUUAUGGAAUGUGAGCCUUUUGAAGAUACAUUAUUUGGAUAGAGCUUGAAUUUUUUUUUUUAAAAAAGAACAAUAAUAGUAACAUGCAUUGAGUGUUUACUUUGUACCAGGUAUGCUAUGAGGGUUUUACAUCCAUUAACUCUCUUGAUCCCCACACCACCCUUUGGGCAAGGUACUUAAAUUAUCAUCAUAUGCAAAACUUGACAUGUAGAGAGAAUAAGGAACUCGCUCAAGGUUAGACUGAUAAUAAGUGACGGAGCUGAUCUUCUAACCCCUGGAGUUGACUUUGCCACCACACUGCCUUCUCACACAUGUUCAGAACUCUCAAUCUUUUCUCAACAGAAGAACCCCAAAGUCUGUUUUGUGUCUUUUUCUAUUCAAACACCCAGACAGAGGGAAGAGCAAAGGUCCUAUGGCCCAGGGAAGUCUGGCUUGAUGGAGAAAAUGAAAGCUGAUAGAUGUGGAUGAAAAAACAAACUGCGGUCAAACUAACAUGAAAAAAGGGCCAACUAGGUAGGACCUUACCGGGUAGGUCCAGAUUUUGAUCUUUAACCUUGGAACAAUGAGAAGCCCAUGAGGCAUUUAGCCAAUUAACGGUUUAUAAAGUUCACUUUGGAAGCAAUUAGAAAAUCAGCAUGAAAUGGAGGGGGCUGAGUGGAUAUCAGGAGAAGGCUGAGGCUAACUCAGCAGCCCAGGAAGAGAAGCAAGGUCUUAGAUUAAGGGACUGGUGAUGUGAGAGUGUUCAGUGAAGCUCAGGCAGCCUCCGCUUCUU